UUACACUGAUGACUUCUUAGGACACCUUUGGAUUCUUGAUGAAAACAAAUUAAGACUCUGAGUAAC
ensembl:snoRNA SNORD58 Small nucleolar RNA SNORD58